UACUCAUCCUAGACUUAAGAUGCUAAAUUUUUUUUAACAUUAUAAAGAUGAGACCUACUCAUGAAAAUCACAUAGCAGCACUAAAGCAAUCCAAAAUAAAAAAUAUUAUCCUUUCCAUUAUCGAUGAACUUUCUCUACAAAGAAUAUCAAAUCAUAUCUUCUAUUAUAAAUUUUUUACUCAAAAAAUCAAUAUUGCUGACUAGCACACAAUAAUUUAGAUCAUCAUACUUUCACUAUGCACUUUGAUUUAAAUCAUCAAAAUUUUUCAAAUACAAUAAAUAAAUUUUAAUUAAAAUAUUACUUUAUAUUGGC
rnacentral:lncRNA from 1 species